rnacentral:pre_miRNA from 1 species
AGGGGAAUAGCUGGGUCAAAUGGUGAUUCCAUUCCCAGCUUUCCAAUAAAUCUCCAUACUACUUUCCAAAUUGGCUGCACCAAUUUGCACUCCCACCAGCAAU